AAACAUUCCAAUCAACUCACCUUCUGUAUGUAGGUAAGAAGGGCCUCCUUGUUAUUGGUCCACUCUGUGAAAAGCUGAGAAGCCAGUGGAUACUUGCAGCAGCUGAAUCUGAAAGUGACUUCAAAACAGUUCCCUUUGAGUUUGAUACCAUCUUCAAAGCUUUUGUUGGGAUCAACAGGACAGCCAGGAUUGUCCAUCCUCAUUAUGGGAUGGUUCUCAGUGUAGGUUUGUGCUAAAUGGCGAAAGAGAGCUUCAUCUGCUGUCAGCCUUGAGCUUGCAGAAGAACUGCUGUCAUCAAAAGGGAAGCUGGCCAUCACCGAGCCCCCAUGUAGACUACCAGACAAGACAAACCUUGAAAAGAUUACAAAGAGCCAGAAAACCUGAUUUCCAACAGUUUUGGUGCCGUGACCCGGAUAGAGCUUCUCACCUCAAUCCAGAUUGGAACUUCAAGCACAACAAAGAUCUGACCCAAAAGAAGAUCCAGGCUGAAUUGUCCUGUGCACCCAAGGGUUGGUGAGUGAUACUCUAUCCAAAAGAAGCAUUAAGACCAGUACAAAGUUGUUAUCCUCUGCGCCGUCAGAGAAGAGUUAACAGACAGCUGUAGGGUUUGGUUAACUAAGUUAUCCUCUAAAAAUGUUCUUUUACAGAUGAAGUUUAUCCUCUGUUCAGGCAGGGAAGAUUGGCAUUAAGUGCUAAUAUUGGUAACCUCUGUUCAGGCAGGGAAGAUUGGCAUCACAUGCUAAUAUUGGUUUAUCCUAUGUAAAGUUAGGAAAGUUUUAUCUUCUGCUUUAUAAGGGAAGGUUGUUUAUCCUCUGUUUAAUCAGGGAAGAUGGUGUGUUAACAAUAGUCAUCCUCUACUUUGCUAGAGAAGAAGGUUCAUCCUCUGUUAAUUCAGGGAAGGUUACAACUGUUACAGUGUGGUAGCAAGUUGGUUCUACUCUGCUCGUCAGAGACGGUUGAAUACAUUACGAUGUGUAUUAACUAGGUUAACCUCUGCUCUGUCAGGGAAGUGUUGAAGUGUAUUGUUGUGCCAGAAAGACAUUACAAAAUGUUGAGAAAGAACGCUAGACUUAUUCCAACAACUGAGAAAGGUGGACUAGCUACCCCUUUAUGGACAGAUAGUGAGUUCAAAUCAUUGUUAGGACAGAUAUACUCUAUCCAUUGCACAAGAACAAAUCUAACGAAUUGCUAAGUUAGAAGAGCAGAACAAACAGUUGCACACUAGAGUGUUUCGUCUCACUCAGAAGUUGGGCCUUAAAGCCUCAACCAAAUGUGACUCAAAAGACCAACAGUCAGAUGAAAGCUAUCCUGACAUACAGUCUUUCUGUAGACUAGAGGGCAAUAGCAAUACUGGAUUCAUGGAUAAAGAUGUAAAUGCAGUUGAAGUGUGUGGAGUGAGACAAAAGGCUCAGAGUAGGGCAAAAGGGGUUGACAGUUCCAUCUGUAACCCCCAUACUGCAGUUACAAGCAGUCAGUAUCACUAUAGGUCCUGAAGACAUAGAAAGAAUUGCUGAGAAUUUGCCAUCAGUGCAUAGAAACUUUUCUGAGUUUAGGACAGAGUUGUCCAGAAAAAUUAAGCUCUAUGAUAUGUCCCUAGCUGAAGUCACACAGCUAAUGUCACAAAUCCUGAAAGAGUCAGAAUUCAAUGAUUUUGAAAGUGCUGUAAAUAGUUCUGAAUUUCAGCAUUCCAGUAAAGGUGAAUUGAGAGAAGGAGUUCUGAGAGUGUUACAGAACCUUGUUGGACCAAAGGUGGACUGGUCAAAGAUCACUAGUUGUGUACAGAAGAAGGAUGAAACUGUAAGGGAGUACACUGAAAGAUUUUGUCAGUCAGCGGCAGCAUACAGUGGAAUAGCUGACACUCCAGAG